UCCCUAAUUAAUCGCCUUGUUUCCAACCUCUCGCCGUCGAGCUCACAAUUCCACCGCGUCGGCCCUGAUCUAUCCGACGUCGCCACUCAGAUCAGAUCCACUCCACCGCCCCACUUCUCGAUGCGGCCUCCAUUCCACUUCACUGGAGUACACGCAGGCCGCAGCUGCAGCAGGCGCCGAGUUGGACGCGGUUGCGGGCAGUUCGACCCCAUCAUGCGUGAGCGGCAAUCACACGUCGUCACCGGCGGCACUAUGUGCCACAGACUCCAGCUACUAUUGGCAUACGUGAUACGUCCUCAAUCUGCAUGCCCUAGAGACUAAGCAGAUGCAAUGCUACUCAAACCCAGAGUGUCUAGUGCAAAUCUUCAACCGCGACCGUCAAACGAUCUGAUCCCAAAGGGGAAGUUCAAGGGCCUAAACUGGAUGAUGGAAGCUGUGGGUUCCGUUUCGGCAAAGGAGAGGUGGUAGUAGCAGCUACUUUGGUGGGUUCCUUCUCUUCACCAUUCGUGGUGCUCCUGGAUUACCUCAAGGACUUUGAGAAGUACCUGCUUGCUUGAGCAUCAUAUCGGAGAUGACGAUGCGGGCUACGACAUGAGCGGUGGGAUGCUAGGGCAUGAGUCUUAUUAGCAGUAGUGUCUGGUCCAUGCUAGAUAUUUCUAAAUGGUUGUCUCCUAAUCUAGAAGUGAAUCAGUCAACUGUCCUGAUUGGUUAUGCUAUUUGUCCUUGUCUUGUAAACAUCUAUGUUGACCGAUGAAAAGCUCAAAAUGUUAUAGGAUUGAGUCUGAGCUGCUGAAACUUGAUGCCAUCCGGCUGCUGUGCGUAAAAAUA